GCCUACGGGGCGCAGCAGUGGGGAAUAUUGCACAAUGGGGGAAACCCUGAUGCAGCGACGCCGCGUGGGUGAAGGAGCGUUUCGGCGCGUAAAGCCCUAUCGGCAGGGAAGAAGAUGACGGUACCUGACCAAGAAGCCCCGGCUAACUACGUGCCAGCAGCCGCGGUAAUACGUAGGGGGCAAGCGUUAUCCGGAUUUACUGGGUGUAAAGGGAGCGUAGACGGCGAUGCAAGUCUGAAGUGAAAGGCGGGGGCCCAACCCCCGGACUGCUUUGGAAACUGUAUGGCUGGAGUGCAGGAGAGGUA
rnacentral:rRNA from 1 species